rnacentral:misc_RNA from 1 species
AAGUCGUAACAAGGUCUCCGUUGGUGAACCAGCGGAGGGAUCAUUACAGAGAUUUAUCUCACCCAACCCUUGUGAAAAUACCCAGUAUGCCUCGGCGGCAUAACCGGUUUUCGUGCCGGCGCGCCGCCGCAGGACUCCAAACUCUUGUUUAAACCUGAUUUCUGAAUUAAAAGCAAAUAAGUUAAAACUUUCAACAACGGAUCUCUUGGUUCUG